UGGGGAAUAUUGCACAAUGGGCGAAAGCCUGAUGCAGCGACGCCGCGUGAGGGAUGACGGCCUUCGGGUUGUAAACCUCUUUCAGCAGGGAAGAAGCGCAAGUGACGGUACCUGCAGAAGAAGCGCCGGCUAACUACGUGCCAGCAGCCGCGGUAAUACGUAGGGCGCCAGCGUUGUCCGGAAUUAUUGGGCGUAAAGAGCUCGUAGGCGGCUUGUCACGUCGGAUGUGAAAGCCCGGGGCUUAACCCCGGGUCUGCAUUCGAUACGGGCUAGCUAGAGUGUGGUAGGGGAGAUCGGAAUUCCUGGUGUAGCGGUGAAAUGCGCAGAUAUCAGGAGGAACACCGGUGGCGAAGGCGGAUCUCUGGGCCAUUACUGACGCUGAGGAGCGAAAGCGUGGGGAGCGAACA
rnacentral:rRNA from 1 species